AGCUCCAAUAGCGUAUAUUAAAGUUGUUGCAGUUAAAAAGCUCGUAGUUGGACUUGUGGCGUACGGUGGGUUCCGGGCACUUGUUGUCUGAGUAACUUGCUGUUGCCAUCCUUGGGUGGAACCUGUGUGGCAUUAGGUUGUCGUGCAGGGGAUGCCCAUCAUUUACUGUGAAAAAAUUAGAGUGUUCAAAGCAGGCUUAUGCCGUUGAAUAUAUUAGCAUGGAAUAAUGAGAUAGGACUUUUUUGCUAUUUUGUUGGUUUGCGCAAAGAGGUAAUGAUUAAUAGGGACAGUUGGGGGUAUUCGUAUUCCAUUGUCAGAGGUGAAAUUCUUGGAUUUUUGGAAGACGAACUACUGCGAAAGCAUUUACCAAGGAUGUUUUCAUUAAUCAAGAACGAAAGUA
rnacentral:rRNA from 1 species